AGAAUGAUAGAUCCACCAAAGCAGGUCAAUGGACUGACUUUUGGAUAACAAUAGAUCCUAAGUAAACGGACAGGCACCAAUUGUGUGUCUGAAGAGAAACAAGAGACAGAAAGAGAGUUAAACAAACAUUCAGAUUGAUCCAAAGAAAUCGUCAUGAUUCUUACAAAAAAUUGGUUACCACUUAGAUCCAGAGAUUUCAGCAUCCUAAGGGCAGAUAAAUCUGACACAAGACAAAAUUCAACACAAUUGUAAGCACCUUUACUGCGAACAUCAUGAUUUCGAAGAGUACACGAACCAAUGUUAUAUACAGCCAUUAAAUCAACUAAAAUCUCUGAGCUACCUUGAACUGCAAGGGAAUUGAAUUCAUUUCUACUCAGGUCCAGCAGUUCCAAGUUUGUCAAAUCUUUAUGUUUUGAAAGAGAAUCCAACUCUCUCAGGCACGUUCCCCGAGGAUGACUCUCUCACCUUCGCUACAGUGAAGAUCGUCUAAUCUCUAUCGCCCCUGCCGUUAAAAGCAAAGGAAAUCCACCGCACACAACCGGCUCCGAUGACCUAAUCUCAUCAGAAAAAGAUUUCCUUCGGUAGAACAGUAGAUCCUGCUAUGGCCGUUACUCCUCUUUGCCCCGUUCCAAGUGGAAUCCCCUCCUUCUCACCUAGCGCAGGAUUGUCGAUUAGGGUUUCUAGCAAAUUUCUCACCUCUCCUCAAAUCUGAAGCCACACACCUCAGGAACAACAAGCUCUUUAAGGAUUUAUCUUCUUUACCUCCUAGUUGAGGAUAGUGAAACUACUCGUCCAUCAUCUCAAGACCUCAAGAUAUUUUGUCAAGUUGACUCCAGGAACCCCCCCCCCCCCCCCGUCUUCAGAGGUUAGGAGAGCAUGGCUCACAGAUACACAAGAUCUGAAAAAGGAAUAUGGACUGCGGAGUCAGACAGAGCGGACUGUCGAAGACCAGUAAGGAUCCCGCCCCGUGAUAACACAUCACUUAUCGAGGAGAACAAGCUCACGCUGAUAGGAAGAGUGACGAACCCAGCGGUUCAGAAGACACAAUGGGUAGUGGACUGGCUAACCCAGUACUGGAGUGCUGAAGGAGAACUCACGGGAAGAGAGCUGGGCCCUGAACUCUUCCAGAUUCGCUUCAAAUCAGAGGAAGCACUGCAAGCAGUUCUCCGUAAAGGACCGUAUCACUACAAAAGAUGGAUGUCCUUCUCCAAAGAUGGGAACCAGUAGUCUCAAACUCCUUUCCAAGAAUGAUAGAAUUUUGGAUCAGAAUCCAUGGAAUCACUCUACAUUACUGGUCUCUGGAGACUCUGGAAGCAAUUGCCAAAGAAUUGGGACCCAUGUCCGACACAGAUGUAGAUCGAGGAAGAAUAAGAAUCCUCAUUGAUGGACUAAGAAAGUUGGAAAUGCGCCUCCCUAUUGAACUUCCCUCAGGAGAAGUUAUCUCAGUGGACUUGGAAUAUGAGAAAUUAGAGAAGCAUUGCUUCAUGAACCAGUAGUCUACCAAUUAAAACAGUUAAUAGGUAAAAUUGAAAGUUAGAAAUAAUGAAAUAUGAAAUUUUUUGGAAAUGUUUUUUUUUUUAAACA